GACGAACGCUGGCGGCGUGCUUAACACAUGCAAGUCGAACGGUGAACGAGGGAGCUUGCUCCCUCCGGAUCAGUGGCGAACGGGUGAGUAACACGUGAGCAAUCUGCCCCGAACUCUGGGAUAAGCGUUGGAAACGACGUCUAAUACCGGAUACGACGCGGGAGGGCAUCCUCUCCGCGUGGAAAGAACUUCGGUUCGGGAUGAGCUCGCGGCCUAUCAGCUUGUCGGUGAGGUAACGGCUCACCAAGGCGACGACGGGUAGCCGGCCUGAGAGGGUGACCGGCCACACUGGGACUGAGACACGGCCCAGACUCCUACGGGAGGCAGCAGUGGGGAAUAUUGCACAAUGGGCGCAAGCCUGAUGCAGCAACGCCGCGUGAGGGACGACGGCCUUCGGGUUGUAAACCUCUUUUAGCAGGGAAGAAGCGAAAGUGACGGUACCUGCAGAAAAAGCACCGGCUAACUACGU
rnacentral:rRNA from 1 species